UACACUCCUGCGGGAGGCAGCAGUGGGGAAUUUUGGACAAUGGGCGAAAGCCUGAUCCAGCAAUGCCGCGUGAGUGAAGAAGGCCUUCGGGUUGUAAAGCUCCUUUGUCAGGGAAGAAACGGUGAAAGCUAAUAUCUUUUGCUAAUGACGGUACCUGAAGAAUAAGCACCGGCUAACUACGUGCCAGCAGCCGCGGUAAUACGUAGGGUGCAAGCGUUAAUCGGAAUUACUGGGCGUAAAGCGUGCGCAGGCGGUUUUGUAAGUCUGAUGUGAAAUCCCCGGGCUCAACCUGGGAAUUGCAUUGGAGACUGCAAGGCUAGAAUCUGGCAGAGGGGGGUAGAAUUCCACGUGUAGCAGUGAAAUGCGUAGAUAUGUGGAGGAACACCGAUGGCGAAGGCAGCCCCCUGGGUCAAGAUUGACGCUCAUGCACGAAAGCGUGGGGAGCAAACAGGAUUAGAUACCCUUGUAGUCCCAU
rnacentral:rRNA from 1 species